UUGAUUUUUUCUAGUUGCUAAUACCGUAGGAUUGAUGUAAGAAAUUGUAAUUUUUAAUUAAUUAUCUAAUAAAUACACUCUACGGUUGCAGAGCCGUAAUUUUCAGUACAGCUUUGUGGGCUAAUUUUUUUGUAAUUAGUAAGGUAAUUUGCAAAUUUUUUGGACUCUACAGCUGUGAAGCCGUAACUUUUCGUGCAGUUUCGUGAUCUAAUUUUUUUAUAAUUACUAUGGUACACACUGUUAGGAACUACAAUUGAUUUUUUCUAGUUGCUAAUUCCGUAGGAUUGAUGUAAGAAAUUGAAAUUUUUAAUUAAUUAUCUAAUAUUUACACUCUACGGUUGCUGAGCCCUAAUUUUCAGUACAGCUU